UGAGGAACAUGACCUUCGGCGGGGGAUAGCCGGCCCAACGGCCGGGUAAUACCGCGUACGACCACAUGGGGACAUCCCUGAGUGGUGAAAGCAGCAAUGCGCCGAUGGAGUGCCUCGCGGCCUAUCAGCUAGUUGGUGGGGUAAUGGCUCACCAAGGCAACGACGGGUAGCUGGUCUGAGAGGAUGGCCAGCCACAUUGGGACUGAGACACGGCCCAGACCUCUACGGGA
rnacentral:rRNA from 1 species